UCCUUGAAUCCCCAGCCCUGGAUGGGUUUUAUUCUGUUUGCAUGAGGUGAGGAAGUAGGGGAGACAGUCUCAAGUUGGUUGGCUUGUUUCUAAUCUGAAAGAGAGAGACAGAGAGAGAGAGAAGACGCUCUCACCUCCUGAUUCACUCCCCCUAAGUGUUUGCAAAAGCCAGGAGCUAGGAACUCAAUUUGGGACUCCCAUGUGUGGGUGGCAGGGAUCCAAAUACUCGAGCCAUCACCUGCUGCUUUCCACAGUCUGCUUUAGCAGGAAGCUGGAGGCAGGAGCCAGAGCUAGGGAUCCAUCCCAGGUCUCUGGUGUGGGACAGAGGACCCUCGAUUGCUGGGCCGUAUACCCGCCGCCUUUUCAAGGUUUUGUGAGCAGGGCGAUGACAUCAUCAAAGACGUGCUUGCCAAAACCAGGUGGCUGCAGCAAUGUUUGUUAGGAAAGCGGUUUUUAUGGACUGAAGCACAGGCAUCCCAUAUGAUACAGGUUCGAGACCCGGCCGCUCCACUUCUGAUCCAGCUCUCUGCUAUGGCCUGGGAAAGCAGUAGAAGAUUGCCCAAGGCCUUGGGCCCCCGCACCCAUGUGGGAGACCCAGAAGAAGCUCCUGGCUUUGGAUUGGCUCAGCUCCAGCCAUUGCGGCCAUUAUUAAAAAUCUUAAAAAUAAGAUUUAUGUUAUUUAUUUGAAAGAGUGACAGAGGGAAAGACAAGGGCCAGGCUGAAGCUAGGAGCCAGGAACUCCAUCCAGAUUUCCCAUAUAGAUAGUACAAGUGACCCAUGCACUUGGGCCAUCUUCUGCUGCUUUCCCAGGCACAUCAGCAGGGAACUGGAUCAGAAGUGGAGCAGCCGGGACUCGAACCAGCACUCAGAUGGGAUGCCAGUGUCUCAGGCCACGUCUGAACCCACUGCACCGACCACUGGCCCCCACGCUGUUUUUGAAAGGAGCGGAGCUAUGUGCUCUGUGGGCUCAGGCUGGGUGGUGAUGACUGUAGGGCAUCCGGACACGGUCUGCAAACACAGGAUGCAGAAGCCCAAGGGUUGCCAAGCUUCAACGUCCUGAAUCACUCUUCUCCUAGCUGCAGGGAGUUCUGGGUCCUCAAGCACAAAGGUUUGUCGCAGACAGAGGAAACGUGUAGCCAUGUCGGAGCUGACGGGCAACACACCAAACCCAAGGAUCUGUCUUGUCCUGUGGGCAGUGCGGAGCCAUGGCGCUUAGGUGAGACCCCACCUUCAUCCCUGAGCCCCACCCUAGGGCAGGAGGGGGACCUUGGCAUCUCCCCAGGAGCCUGGCCUUGCCACCAUCCCUGCCCUGCCGGGGACCCAGCUGUGAGCGUCAUCUGGCCUUGGAGGUGGGGCUUGGAUGGGGAAGUGAACUUACCGUCUGGUGAAGCCUGUAAUUCUGGGUUCACGGCUCCUCCAUGCUGUUUCACUGCCUGGGCAGCUUUUGCAUUCUCCCUCUUCCUGUAUAAAAUAGGGCUCAUAAGGGUCAUCUCCAAAAGUCUUUGAAUUUAGUUUGUCACAUGCCUGGCCCCAGGCCUUCAGUAAAACAAAUUGUGGGGGCUGGCGUUGUGGCACAGUGGGUUAAAGCCCUGGCCUGAAGCGCCGGCAUCCGAUAUGGGAGCUGGUUCUAGUCCCGGCUGCUCCUCUUCCAAUCCAGCUCUCUGCUAUGGCCUGGGAAAGCAGUAGAAGAUGGCCCAAGUCCUUGGGCCCCUGCAUCCACGUGGGAGACCAGGAGGAAGCUCCUGGCUUCGGCUUGGUGCAGCUCCGGCCAUUGUGGCCAAUUGGGGAGUGAACCAGCGGAUGGAAGACCUCUCUCUCUGCCUCUGCCUCUCUCUCUCUCUCUCUAACUCUGUCUUUCAAAUAAAUAAAAUAAAUCUUUAAAAACA
ensembl:lncRNA